GGGGUUUUACCAAGCGAUAACCCGCUACACAUCCACAGUUUCCACACCAAACUCUCCACCUGCAAUAUUUGACCAUCUUGUCACUCGUUUUCUUUUUAAAUCCCAUGGCGUGUUUGCGGCGAGCUGACCACAGAGCGCCGGUGUCUUUUUUAAUCAGACUCUACGGGCUGUAAAGUGAGAGAAUCUAAACGUGACGUCAAUGCCUAGUAACUGACGCAGCCCUUCAACAACAAAAAAAAAAAAAUGUCCUUUUUAUUUUUUUUUCUUCUUCUUCAAUCUUCUUCUCGUCAGCAAAGCUUGAUUGCAAAUUUUUUUUUUCUCCAGUGCUCCGUCGACCGAAAGAACAAAUAAAAUUCCGCAGGGAGGGUCGUUCGACUGUAUUUGGAGCUGUGUUUUGCGUUCAUGAGUUUUGAGCCGCUGAAGUGACAGCGGGGCGAGGAGCUUCUGAAGAGGGCGACAACAACAUCAGAUAUUGGCGAUGGUAUUUGGCAGCGACGGCGAGCUCCACAUUUUAGUUGUCCAGGGGGCAAAAGUAGGAUUACGGGGCGAGAAGGAGGAGGUGGUGGUGGUGGUGCUGUGUGAAGGCACAUUGGGCUGGAAAAAAAAAAAUCACUGCAAUGAUGCAACGGAGGGGGAUCGGGGCUCUUGUGCAGAGUUGGAGAGGCAAAAUUAAUUUACAUUAUCAUGCACUUCACGUAACGUUCCUAGGCGAUGCCUGUUUUUAUGCCUGAGUGGGGUUUUUUUUCCCCUUCCUCGUAUUGUGACCUAAAAAUAGCAACGUAGUUUUGAUCGCGCGCCAGAAAUAGACAGACAGGGGUAUCACUUGUAUAAAAAAAAGGGAGGCGAUCCUGUGAGCAAACUUGGACGCGCCACUUUUAGGACAGCUGGGGACGUGCCCGCGCCAUGGAGGGAACAAUCACAACAACAACAACCAUUAAAAAAAAGGACAAUUGGAUGGAAACGCCGGGACUUGUGUACCCGGAUCGACCCCGGUGCUGAUGCUGCUGCUGCUGCUGCUCAUGAUGAUGAUGAUGCUGUUGGAGCCUCCGUGUUCCAGAGUGGGGGGGGGGGGGGGGAGGGGGAUGUCUCCACCGAUGAGGAGCGCAGACAGAAACAUAUGGGACGUCGACCUGACCGCCCUCCUCCUCCUCCAUGUCCUCAUCUUCUUCUUCAUCCCAGAGAAAGGGGCCCCGAGGCGAGGAUUGAUGGAGGGGAAAUCCUGACUGACUGAAACCCGAAUGACGAUGUCUCCUCUCCCUCCCCCCUUCUCUUGAAGCCUUCCUCUUCAGUUUCUCCUCCUCAGUCGCCCCGACUCUUGCGCCACAGGAUUAAGGGCCGAAGAGAUGACUGCAAAGGGGAAAAGAUAGAAACUGCACUAAGAUCCGGCAAGAGUCUCGCAAGGAAAAUCCGACGAGCAGGAUGAUUGGACAGACGCCAAAUUGUAAGGCAGUAAACUGUUUACUCAGCUGGAUGAAACACACACAUGCAGGAAAAUCCGAGGAGCAGGAUGAUUGGACAGACGCCACCAUGUAAGGCAGUAAACUGUUUACUCAGCUGGAUGAAACACACACAUGCAGGAAAAUCCGAGGAGCAGGAUGAUUGGACAGACGCCACCAUGUAAGGCAGUAAACUGUUUACUCAGCUGGAUGAAACACACACAUGCAGGAAAAUCCGAUGAGCAGGAUGAUUGGACAGAAGCCACCAUGUAAGGCAGUAAACUGUUUACUCAGCUGUAAACACACACACAUGCAGCUGCUGAGCUGCGAUGGACACGACGUGAAGGUGGACUCGCCAUACGUCCGAAAGCUGUGUGUGUGUGUGUGUGUGUGUGUUUGUGUGUGUGCAGUUGCACUAUCUUUAAUGACAUCACUUCAUACACACUUUGACAUGUGUUGCUGGCUCUGUUACACUAAACUGUAAAUGCUGUGUAUUUGCUGUUUUCUGUCAAAAUAGGCGGCAAAUAGUUGUGUGUAAAAAAAAACGUUGAUAAAUGUUUAUUAACUUGGAGAUGAACGUAAAUUAUUGCAUGCGUGCAAAUAUUCCAGAAUCCAAAAUUUUCAUUUUGACAAUUGUGCUCGUUAAAAAAAGAAAAGAAAAGAACUUGACGUUUGUGAAACAUGUAUUUUGCGAAAGAUGAUUUCGUAAAUAUAUUUGACCACGACUGAAGGACACCUGGUCAGUGUGAUCCAUUCAAUGUCAUCCCGUGAAACCGUGUUGCACAACUCGCUGCCUCCUGCCUCGCGGUCUCUCCACUUGUGUCGGAGAAUGCGCGCGGCGGCGCCAAGACCGUCGGCACGUGGACACAGUUUCGUACUCUUUACCCUCCGCCGAGUACACGAAAGGCUCUGCCUGGUGCCACACGAGCUCGGCCUGUCCGAAUUUCAUGUUUAGUUUGUGUGUGUGUGUGUGUGUGUGAGAGAGGGGGAGCAUGGCGGCACAGGGUGUGUGUGUGUGUGUGUUGCGCAUUGCCUUUCUGGCUCGGAGUGGGGAACAGAGAGCAGAACGCUCUGCUGAGGAGAAAAACCGUGACAGUGGGUUUGUGCUGACACGUCCAGCGUCUGUAAACACGACUGAUUUGUUAAUUUGUAUGGAAUUUUUUAUUUUUUUUAAAGCGAAAUAAAGCGAUGGAAAUCUA